rnacentral:tRNA from 10 species
GCCUCGGUAGCUCAGUUGGUAGAGCAUACGACUGAAAAUCGUAGUGUCGGUGGUUCGAUCCCGCCCCGAGGCACCA